CCAGAAACGACAGGCAGGAGGCCUCCUCUCUGCAAGCCGGCAGAUCCCCCGGGACAUGAACACGGUUCUGCUCUUCAUCUGCCUGCAGGAGGCCUCGGAGGAGCCAGAUCCCGAAGCUGCCGCAGAGAAAAUCUGACACGGGAGGUGCUGGAAGCAGCCCAGCCCGUCCCUCCUCUUACCGCCCUCACCUCCCCUGUGGAUGCAAAGUUCCAAAGUUCCACUGCGUUUUUAAAGGUGCCAUUACUUAAGCUCCAGCCUCUGUUGCCGUGAAUCCUCUGCCUAAGCUGUCUUGAAACUGCCUCCUUCUCAGCCUCCUCCAGGAAGCCUUCCUUGGAGAAGCCGACACAGAUUCCAAGCCAGCCUUCCUUGUUCUCACCAAAACAAUUUACUCAUGGACUUGGCCAUCUGUCCGUGCCUGUGCUCCGCCGUACGGGGAGAUUCCCGAGGGCAAACACCGCAGUAGAAGAAUAGGCAGACAGUCAGCAGAGGAGGACGCUGGAGGGGACACAAGCACACGGACAGGUGACGGACAGCGCCGUACACAGGGGCACACAUCACAGUCACACAGCGAAUCACAGCUUCCUACCCGUGGACUGGCAGAAAUGAAAGCAUCUCUCCUUUGAAGGUGUGGAAAUGGAAACUGCACUCAGGCUUGGGAGCACCGCGUAGGAGCACGACUCAGCAGCGGCUGUGAGGAGCCGCCCGGGCCCCAGCUACUCGCACGUGUACACAAGGAAGCGCGAGAGUUGCGGCAUUUUAGGGUAAAAAUAUUGCCAAUAAUUCAGCACUUAUUAACCAGAAAAAUGAAUAAAAUGUGAGAGACUCAAAUGAAAUUCUUGACAGCAGUUAAAAUUAAACUAUAGAUAGUUACAUGUGAUCAAAAUGGAUUAAAUCCACAAACCUUUGUUGUUGGUUGAGGAAAAACAAGUGCAGAAAGCCUCAUGCUAUUUACUGAAAUGUAAAAACAUGGCAAAUAUCAUGUAUUACUUAUGGAUACAUAGGUAGUAAAUAUUUAAAAUUAUGCAUGGGAAUGAUACCAACUUAACUAGAGUGGCUCCCUUUGGGGAGGGAAGGAGGAAGAGAGGUACACAAAGGAUUUCAACUGUAUGCAUAAUGCUUUGUAUUUUCAAAAAUGAUCUAAAGCGAAAUCUAAAAAAAUGGAAAUCAUCCUGUU
ensembl:lincRNA